GGAGCCUCACCCACAUGCAAAUUCCUCCUCCUGCUCUGGGUUCAAAGGCCCUCUGGGCUGUGGGAGCUCCCAGCUCUCUGCUCAGACAGGGCUGAGGUCUCUGGGAAGGCAGGUGUGGUCUAGAAGAUGAGGCUGCUGGGUCUUGUCCUGUGCCUGGUCACAGCUCUGCAAGGUGUCCUGUGCCAGGUGCAGCUGCAGGAGUCAGGACCUGGCCUGGUGAAGCCCUCACAGACCCUGUCCCUCACCUGUGCUGUCUCUGGUUACUCCAUCACCAGUGGUUACUGCUGGAGCUGGAUCCAUCAACCCCCAGGGAAGGGGCUGGAGUGGUUAGGUUGCAUAUGGUAUGAUGGUGAUACUAGGUACAGCCCAUCCCUCAAGAGCCGAGUGUCCAUCUCCAGAGACACAUCCAAGAACCAGUUCUCCCUGCAGCUGAGCUCCCUGACCACCCAGGACACAGCCACCUAUUACUGUGCCAGAGACACA